CUUACUUAUAUCUUACUUUUGCAAUUAGGUCAAUAUACAAGACACAAUGCUUAGUAAUAAAAUGCAUUUUAAAGUAAUUUUUUGCACACAUUUAUACAUGUCAUUUCCUGGGGACUGAAAUGGUACAGAUUCAGUGGAAUAUGUCAUAUAUUACAUAUAUUUUAUCAGGUAACUAGCUUUUAGAAAAUGUUAGGACUCCAGUAGUGACGUAGUUAUGUACGCAAAAAAUCCAUGUAAAAAUAUUAUUGUGUAAUUAAUUACUGUUAUACGUAGACUAUGCUGAUAAUGAGGCAGUGAUUAAUUAAGAUAAACUACUGCGUUGUGGUGGAAUAGAAUGAAAAAAAAAACAUAAAAAGCACAUAGAAAUCAAGUAUUUGUGUAGGAAAAGAGCUCUCUGUGUGUUUGUGUGGCUAGUUGUUGUUGUUGUUUUGUUUUUUCCCCCCUCUCUCCUUUUCUGUUCAGCCCUCCCCUACAAGCAGGCGCCAUUUUGUUGUUAAGCAGCCUCCUGUCGUGAUGGAUACCUCAGCAGGUCAGGAGUCAGAGUUGAGCUGCAGUGGCGGCGACGCCUCUUUUUGUCUGCAGUGUGAAAAGCCGGUCACCGAGGCCUCUGCUGGAACUCCAUCAGGACCAGAGGAGAGAGGAGAGAAAGGGGAGAGCCAUGAAUGCAGCUGCGUGAUGAUGGGAUUCCUCGGGGGCACAAAACACCGCGCUGACAUCUCCACAGAGAGCUGCUGCUGUUGGGAAUAAUUCAGGACCCCUGCUGCCCCCUACAGAAUCACGGCCACCAGAUCGCCGACUGAUAGGGGCCUGGUGUCACGUUCAGAGUUCAAGCCUGCUCCUGACCGGGAGACAGAAGGUAUGCACGUCCAGGGCUCCAGCUAUUGUCUGCUUGGGGAAAUAAAACAGCCUAAAGUAGAUCCCAUUCCCUCAGCGCACCUCCUCUACUACUGAACCUGAUCACAUAAACACUGGAGCUCGCUCAUCAUCUCCUAUAAAUACAGCUCUGACAAAAUUAAUAGACCACUUCAGUUGCUGAAUUAGUUUCUCUGAUUUUGCUAUCUACAGGUAUAUGUUUGUUUUUAAAUGAUCAUUGUUGUUUUAUUUUAUAAACUACGGACAACAUUUCUCCCAUUUAGAGCAUUUAUUUGCAGAAAAUGAGAAAUGGAUGAAAUAACGAAAAAGAUGUAAAGCUUUCAGACCUCAAAUAAUGCAAAGAAACAAAUUCAUAUUCAUAAAGUUUUAAGAGUUCAGAAAACAAUAUUUGGUGGAAUAACCCUCGUUUUUAAUCACAGUUUUCAUGCAUCUUGCAAGUUCUCCUCCACCAGUCUUACACACUGCUUUUGGAUAACAUUAUGCCAUAUAUAUAUGUAUAUAUAUAUAUAUAAUUGUUCCCAUUAUUUAAAUGGCCUUUAUUUGCUUUAUUUGCUUAUGAGACUAAUGAUGCUAACAAGCUGUGAUAGCUAGUGUAUGCCCCAGUAGUUAUCACUGUGUAAUUUAUAGGAGUACAAGAAAAAAAAAAAAAAAAA